UCUAGCCAGACGACCAUCAUCUACAAGAUUAACCACUCAAGGGACGAAGCGGUGUUGAGGUUCUACCUCCAUGGUUGAGGCUAUAACCAACACAUUUUGGACGGGUGCAAAAAUCAACUGAAGAUCACUUGGUUUAGAUGAUGGCCUGGAAGAUGAUAUCUCGAGGCUGAUUAACACAUUUGGGACUUACCACCAGCUGAAGAAGGACUGUGUCAAGUCUAGCCUGAUGAGUCUUUGUGGCGAUGGCGAUGUUGAGGCUUACCAACACUUUUUGAGCAGGAGCAAUAGGUCAACCGAAGAAACUUGAUUGAGUCGACUACCUUGGAGAUGACAUACACGCAACAUUGAGGCUAAACACCUUUUGGACUGAUUGCCACCAGCUUUAAGAAGGACUGGGUCAGUCUAGCUCGGUGACUCUCUGCUACAAGUUCAUACCAUUCAAGUGACGUAGGAAUUUUGUGAGAAUAAACACCCAUUUUUGGACCGAAGAAGAUCUGCCUCAAAUGGAUAAGACAUGCACUACUCUUUUCAGAGCCAACUCUCCUCCCAAUGGAGAUUUUACACAUGGAUGUACCUGCAAGUUUACUUGUUGUAUAGUCACGUCUCAAUACUUUUUUACACCAUGCAAAGCUUCACAGCUU